GGGGGCGGGCGCGGGCCGCGGGUCGACACCGCCCGGAGCGGAGCGGGCAGUGCUGCCCGCGCCUGUCGGGGGCUGGGGCGUCAUCCAGGGAUGCCCUUUCAAAAGUUUUGAAGAUGCUGAAUUAAAGAAUUCAACGAAGUGAUUUGCUGAGAGGGACAAGCUUCCAUUCCCGAUGCCUACUGAAUCAAGACUAUCUGGUUUUGUUCAGGCUGAAAAAUCAGGAGAGAGGAAAUGUAUCUAUGACUUAAUCUACCUCUUUUCAUAUCCUUGGGAUGUUACUGCAUGCAUUCUCUCAGUUACUUCCCAUUAUGUGCUGUGUGGGCAGGAUGUGCAUGUAAACAUGGUGUUUGUUUGCUGUAGUGGCACAAAAAUUUGUAACUUUGUACUGCUCAAAAGAUGAGAAACAAUUUUAGCACAGAUCUUCAAAGGAUGCCUUAUAAUGGGACUGCAAAGCAAUGUGCUCAUUUACAUUUAUAUUAGGA